UACGUAGGUGUCAAGCGUUAUCCGGAAUUACUGGGCGUAAAGGGCACGCAGGCGGUCUAGGAAGUCCGACGUGAAAGCUUCCGGCUUAACUGGGAGAGGUCGUUGGAAACUUUUAGGCUUGAGACGGUGAGAGGGAGGCGGAAUUCCCGGUGUAGUGGUGGAAUGCGUAGAUAUCGGGAAGAACACCAGUGGCGAAAGCGGCCUCCUGGCACUGUUCUGACGCUGAGGUGCGAAAGCGUGGGGAGCGAACAGGAUUAGAAACCCCCGUAGUCC
rnacentral:rRNA from 1 species